AGCUUUGCGCAGUGGCAGUAUCGUAGCCAAUGAGGUUUAUCUGAGGUGCGAUUAAUUGCUAAUUGAAAACUUUUCCCAAUACCCCACCACGACGACUUGAAAUAUAGUCGGCGUUGGCAAUUUUUGACAGUCUCUAUGGAGA
rnacentral:snRNA from 1 species